rnacentral:rRNA from 1 species
GCAAGUCGAACGGUAACAGGCUUAGCUUGCUGAGUGCUGACGAGUGGCGGACGGGUGAGUAACGCGUAGGAAUCUACCUUAUAGUGGGGGAUAACCUGAGGAAACUCAGUCUAAUACCGCAUGUGCCUUACGAGGUAAAGCAGGGGACUUUCGAGCCUUGUGCUUUAAGAUAAGCCUGCGUCGGAUUAGCUUGUUGGUGGGGUAAAGGCCUACCAAGGCGACGAUCCGUAGCUGGUCUGAGAGGAUGAUC